GUGAAUCAUCGAAUUUUUGAACGCAAAUUGCACUCUCCUCGGAGAGUAUGCCUGUUUGAGGGUCAGCCUAUAAAAAAUCGACAUCGUUGCUGUUUCGCGGUGGGGUUCGUCGGAAUUGGGGUAAUCUUAAAUCUUUUGGUUUUAAGGGACUAAAAAUUUUUUUUUUGGUUCCUUGAAGGUUCUUAGGAUUUAUUUCUUUCCAGGUUUAAGUUAUCG
rnacentral:misc_RNA from 1 species